CGACGAUGCGUAGCCGACCUGAGAGGGUGAUCGGCCACACUGGGACUGAGACACGGCCCAGACUCCUACGGGAGGCAGCAGUAGGGAAUCUUCCGCAAUGGGUGAAAGUCUGACGGAGCAACGCCGCGUGAGUGAUGAAGGUUUUCGGAUCGUAAAACUCUGUUGUUAGGGAAGAACAAGUACCGUUCGAAUAGGGCGGCACCUUGACGGUACCUAACCAGAAAGCCACGGCUAACUACGUGCCAGCAGCCGCGGUAAUACGUAGGUGGCAAGCGUUGUCCGGAAUUAUUGGGCGUAAAGCGCGCGCAGGCGGUUUCUUAAGUCUGAUGUGAAAGCCCCCGGCUCAACCGGGGAGGGUCAUUGGAAACUGGGGAACUUGAGUGCAGAAGAGGAGAGUGGAAUUCCACGUGUAGCGGUGAAAUGCGUAGAGAUGUGGAGGAACACCAGUGGCGAAGGCGACUCUCUGGU
rnacentral:rRNA from 1 species